AUUGAACGCUGGCGGCAGGCCUAACACAUGCAAGUCGAACGAGUGGCGGACGGGUGAGUAAUGUCUGGAAAACUGCCUGAUGGAGGGGGAUAACUACUGGAAACGGUAGCUAAUACCGCAUACCAUCGGAUGUGCCCAGAUGGGAUUAGCUAGUAGGUGGGGUAACGGCACACCUAGGCGAAUAUCCCUAGCUGGUCUGCGAGGAUGACCAGCCACACUGGAACUGAGACACGGUCCAGACUCCGACGGGAGGCAGCAGUGGGGAAUAUUGCACAAUGGGCGAAAGCCUGAUGCAGCCAUGCCGCGUGUAUGAAGAAGGCCUGCGGGUUGUAAAGUACGUUCAGCGGGGAGGCGUUACCCGCAGAAGAAGCACCGGCUAACUCCGUGCCAGCAGCCGCGGUAAUUC
rnacentral:rRNA from 1 species